UCCCUAUGGGGUGCAGCAGGCGCGAAAACUUUACACUGCGGGAAACCGCGAUAAGGGAACACCGAGUGCCAGCAUCCUAUGUUGGCUGUCCACAUGUGUAAAUAACAUGUGUUAGCAAGGGCCGGGCAAGACCGGUGCCAGCCGCCGCGGUAACACCGGCGGCCCGAGUGGUGGCCACUAUUAUUGGGUCUAAAGGGUCCGUAGCCGGUUUGGUCAGUCUUCCGGGAAAUCUGACGGCUUAACCGUUAGGCUUCCGGGGGAUACUGCCAGACUUGGGACCGGGAGAGGUAAGAGGUACUACGGGGGUAGGAGUGAAAUCUUGUAAUCCCUGUGGGACCACCAGUGGCGAAGGCGUCUUACCAGAACGGGUCCGACGGUGAGGGACGAAAGCUGGGGGCACGAACCGGAUUAGAUACCCGGGUAGUCCCAGCCGUAAACUAUGCUCGCUAGGUGUCAGGGACGGUGCGACCGUUUCUGGUGCCGCAGGGAAGCCGUGAAGCGAGCCACCUGGGAAGUACGGUCGCAAGGCUGAAACUUAAAGGAAUUGGCGGGGGAGCACUACAACGGGUGGAGCCUGCGGUUUAAUUGGACUCAACGCCGGAAAACUCACCGGGGGCGACAGCAAUAUGUAGGUCAAGCUAAAGACUUUACCAGAAUCGCUGAGAGG
rnacentral:rRNA from 1 species